CUAGCUAUGCUAGCACCGCACCUCGCUUCUCUCUCCCAACUCCCUCAUCAGUCACAACCAUCCUCCGCACGCUGCAGCGUGCCUCCGUGCCACGCCGGAGCAUCGUGGGCCACCAUCCCUGCUCGGAGUUUGCCGUCGUUCAGCGGAGGUCCUCGUUCCUCCACUUCUUGUCGAGUCUGUCGACCUGCUCACUGAGCAGAUUAAAGAAGAUAGAGGAUAUUACAAGCCUCCCCCGGCUAUCAAGGUUGGUAAGCAGGAAUUCAGGUAUGGGAGAAAAGUUGUGGAUCACUAUUAUACUGCGUUAUGGAGAUUAUGUAUGAUUCUAUAAGGUUUUAGAAUAUUUGUAUGAUGGAUAAACAAGUAUUAUUUUACGAUGAGUAAUCGUAUAGUUGAAUUUCAA